GUCAAUUCCUUUGAGUUUCAGUCUUGCGACCGUACUCCCCAGGCGGAAUGCUUAAAGCGUUAGCGACGGCACCCGGGGACUAUAUAACCCCAGACACCAAGCAUUCAUCGUUUAAGGCUAGGACUACCGGGGUAUCUAAUCCCGUUCGCUCCCCUAGCUUUCGCGCCUCAGCGUCAGUGUCGGCCCAGCAACCCGCCUUCGCCGCAGGUGUUCCUCUUGAUAUCUACGCAUUUCACCGCUACACCAAGAAUUCCAGUUGCCCCUUCCGCACUCUAGCCCCGCAGUAUCAGUUGACCUUUCCGAGUUAAGCUCGGAGAUUUCACAACUGACUUGCGGCGGCCGCCUACGCGCCCUUUACGCCCAGUAAAUCCGAACAACGCUUGCUCCCCCCGUAUUACCG
rnacentral:misc_RNA from 1 species